rnacentral:rRNA from 1 species
UACGUAGGGUGCGAGCGUUGUCCGGAUUUAUUGGGCGUAAAGAGCUCGUAGGCGGUUUGUCGCGUCGGCCGUGAAAUCUCCACGCUUAACGUGGAGCGUGCGGUCGAUACGGGCAGACUUGAGUUCGGUAGGGGAGACUGGAAUUCCUGGUGUAGCGGUGAAAUGCGCAGAUAUCAGGAAGAACACCCGUGGCGAAGGCGGCUCUCUGGGACGGUACUGACGCUGAGACGCGAAAGCGUGGGGGAGCGAACAGG